rnacentral:misc_RNA from 1 species
ACAAAUCAAACCAACAAGGUUGCUUGUUGGUCUUGGAUGUUGAGGGUUGCUGGGUUUCAUAAUCAGCUCCCUUUAAAUUUAUUAGCUCAGAAUGAUGGGCUACUUUAGCUUAGGCUGAUAUGAAUAAUAUAAAUGCUUUUGCUGAGGUGUUGCUUGUCUGAGCUUAUAAUUGUCUUUGUAUUGAGACUGUCUCCUUGACAAAAUCUUGA